rnacentral:piRNA from 1 species
AAUAAAAGGACCCUACUUAGUUUUUCAGU